ACGGCUUUGACAAUGAUUUCAGUCGCUGCACCGUGGCCCAGAAGAUGGCACUGAUAGACUACAUGUGGGACCACCGUCCCCUAGCCAGACAUGAGUAUGAUCCGUACACCGCGGACACAGAGUGGCUUCGUUUGGCUGAGACUCUUAACCAGAAUGGGUCGAUCAAAACUGCGGAGAAAUGGAAAGUUACUUGGCGGGACCUGAAAAGGAAAGCUUUAAGGGAAGUCCAAGAGGCUGUACAAAAUAAUACAAGUGCAAGUGAGGCGGCUGUGAAAAUUCGAGAAAUUUUGAUGUCACCAGCUGACGGGAGCCCUAGGGAGCACAGGAAUCUUGUAAGUUAUA